rnacentral:misc_RNA from 1 species
UGUCUUGACAAAUGAGCUUUCUCUAGAAUGUAAGUUUGCAAUAAACACAUAAUCAGGACAAAAAAUUACUCAUGUAGAGCCCACAGCUAACAAACAAUAUGCUGAUCAGUGAUCAUCUUGCAGAACUAGAUAAGACUAUUUGGCUAUUGUUUCAGCUCUAGCAGAAUUUUGCCAACAAUCUCUAAGGAUAAGCAAAAUUAAAUUUAUUCAAGAUCUUUCAAAUAUUCAUUGCAUCACUUUUGAACACCUCAGUCAAUGUAUGGAGAAUCACUGCAUUCAAAGUAAGGAUUGCCACUAUAUAAAUGAAAAUAUGCACAUUGCAAACAAAUCAAUGCACCUGAAAUUUUCUGCAUGAUGACAACAGCACUAGCAUUUUUACACAUCUACAAAACUUCCAACUCAACUUAACUAAGCCUUUA